UUAAAUCAUAUGAUUACGGGUAGAAAAUUAGGAAUUUGGGUAGAGUUAGGACUUUUUAUAUAUUUAUGAUUUAGACCUCGUAUUGGGGUCAAAUUUUGGAACAAAUGAUAAGUUCAGGCUCGUGAGUGAAUGGGUGAUGGGGUUUUGGUCUGAACCUCGUAUUUUGACCAAGCGUGCCCGAGGUCAAUUUUUGACUUUUUGGGAAGAAUGAUUAGAAAGUUAUAAUUAAGAAUUGGAAUGAGAUUUUGAGCAUUUAUUGAUGUUAUUGAGUCGAUUAUGUAUAGAUACAGUUGAUUUGGAGCCAAAUUCGAAAGGAAAGGCGGUAUUUGAGGAUUGAGUUGGUAGUGGAAGUUUGAGGUAAGUGUUCGGUUUAACCUUAGCUUGAGGGAUUAGGAGUUGUGUCCUAUUUGAUAUUUGCUUCUUGUUGAGUACGGCGUAUAAGCAUGGUGACGAGUAUCUAUACGUUGGUGUCGAUCAUGACCGUGACUCUUAAAUUGAAAUUUGUGAUGUUCUUAAAUUACGCUAUGGAUUUAAUUGGUGAUUCUCGAUAUUGAGCAAGGAUUGAGUUUAUUUUAGUGGAAAGUACUUAUGAUAGGGUUUUGGUAAUAGUUGAGAUGAGUAGAAGUUGAGUUAAGAUUGGCUAUAGCUGAUUCUCCCUUGCUGAGAGGUAUUUACUGGUACUGUUGAAUCCCUUGCCGAGAUAGUGUAGUUUAUUAUUGAUCCCUUAC
rnacentral:lncRNA from 1 species